rnacentral:rRNA from 1 species
GACGAACGCUGGCGGCGUGCCUAAUACAUGCAAGUUGAGCGAUGAAGCUUGGUGCUUGCACCAAUUUGAAGAGCAGCGAACGGGUGAGUAACGCGUGGGGAAUCUGCCUUUGAGCGGGGGACAACAUUUGGAAACGAAUGCUAAUACCGCAUAAUAACUUUAAACAUAAGUUUUAAGUUUGAAAGAUGCAAUUGCAUCACUCAAAGAUGAUCCCGCGUUGUAUUAGCUAGUUGGUGAGGUAAAGGCUCACCAAGGCGAUGAUACAUAGCCGACCUGAGAGGGUGAGCGGCCACAUUGGGACCUAGACACGGCCCAAACUCCUACGGGAGGCAGCAGUAGGGAAUCUUCGGCAAUGGACGAAAGUCUGACCGAGCAACGCCGCGUGAGUGAAGAAGGGUUUCGGAUCGUAAAACUCUGUUGGUAGAGAAGAACGUUGGUGAGAGUGGAAAGCUCAUCAAGUGACGGUAACUACCCAGAAAGGGACGGCUAACUACGUG